UGUUGGGUUUGGCCCAUGAAUGUUCAGAGAAAAUCAACUUCAGUGGUCAUGGACUGGUCCAUUAGAUAAAACGAUCAGUUUUUGUAAUUCCAAUUUUCACUUGUCUCCAUCACCUAAGGAACAACACCCACUUUCAUCCUCAUCUCUGACUCCAACAGAAUAUCAGCCACCAUAUGAGCACCAAGGUUUGGGCAGUUCCAGCGGUGGGUGCUUGGCCUUGGCCAGCAUAUGCAAUAACCCAAGCUUCAUCACACUGCAUGACCCCUUGGCUCACAUUUCUGAAUUCAAUUCAGGUGGCUACAAUGGUGGUGGUGGUGGUGGUGGGUCGAUUGCAAUGUCCAAGAGUCAAACCUUUGUGACUAACACGUUUUCUUGCUACUUUGCUUCCGCCACGUGCAACCCACUGAGCAAACUUUCCUCUUUGGUUCUGAUUUGCCGAAGCUUGCUUCUUCUCCAAAGUGGUUCUUGCUCGCACCUUCAAUUAGGAGUAUAGAGGAGACUCUGUAUUCUAAAAAAUGAGCCUCAGAAGCACUUCUUUGGUUUUUGGAUAAAAUGAAUCAUGAGUGUGCAUGCUCACUCAUUUUUUUUUUAAUCUAUCAAGUAAUUUGUUGUGUUCAUUUUCUCUGGUGCAGAAUGAAUCUGAAGUGAAGCUGCUUUUACUCGUCUGUAUGUACUAUAGCAUAUUAUGCGGGUGGGCCACACCUGUUACACCUUGUCUACCAUGAUAGACAGUAAUCAAAGGAAUCAUUUUUGUUUCAACAAGUGACCGUUUUGUUCGCAGAGGCUGGUUAUCUUUAGAGUAAUUCUGAGCGUUACACAAGGUUUUGUUUCACCUGCAUUAUUACCCGUGGUAGAUGAUGAAUCACGAGGCUUAGAAAAAGAGGACAGCCAAACACGGAAAAUGCAUGUAUGCAUUGAAACAACACCAAGAGUCAGAGAAAGAAGCAUAGAAGCAAUUUCCUCAAUUGGUGCUACUACUACUACUACUACCUUCAUAUCCAAGAACAAGAAAUUUGAGAAGAUAAUCAACAGUGAACCAAGCUCUUAAAAGGGGUUUCUCACUUUCUCUUCAUUAUGGUUUUGGCUUUUCUCAGAGAAGAAAUGAACCUCUUAGAUAACAAGACAUUGGCAAAAGUGUUGUUUGUCUUGCAUUUUCUCUUAGCAGUUCUCUUGUUCCCUCUUUACAUGCAACCAGAGCCCCCUGCUGAGGUAGCUCUAUGUUUAGGUGUCAUCCCUUGCUUUGUCUUUGUUUACGCCACCAUUGCUUGGCGAGCCAGUACGUACAUGCAAAAGGAAUAUUUGUUUACCAUUUGAGAAUGAACUCAGUGAAGGAAAACCAUGUUGAUUAGCAUUUGACAGAUUGAGGAACUGGCUACUUUUAGCUGCAAGUAUUUUUUUUUUUUUAGCAUUGUUCUACAUGCAAGUAGGAUGAGUUUUUUGUUCAAGUAGAGAGUUGCAGAUAGAUGAGAUAUGAUAUCCUAUGGAGAGUUUUGUAGAUAGUCAAAAUUAUGCAAGGGAAGUUUUUAUUCACCACCUCAUCUCUUUGUUGUUUGUAGUACUAAUCACUUUGCAGUGAACAAGUUACUCGAUCUUCUCCAA